rnacentral:tRNA from 1 species
GCGCCUGUAGCUCAGAUGGAUAGAGCGUCAGACUCCGACUCUGAAGGCCGCAGGUUCGACCCCUGUCAGGCGUACCA